UACGUAGGGGGCGAGCGUUGUCCGAAUUCACUGGGCGUAAAGCGCGCGUAGGCGGACUUUUAAGUUGGGGGUGAAAUGCCGAGGCUCAACCUCGGAACUGCCUCCAAAACUGGGAGUCUUGAGGUAUGGAGAGGGAAGUGGAAUUCCAGGUGUAGCGGUGAUAUGCGUAGAUAUCUGGAGGAACACCCGUGGCGAAGGCGGCUUCCUGGUCAUAUCCUGACGCUGAGGUGCGAAAGCCAGGGGAGCGAACGGG
rnacentral:rRNA from 1 species